rnacentral:rRNA from 1 species
GAUGAACGCUAGCGGCAGGCCUAACACAUGCAAGUCGAGGGGUAACUAGAGUGAUAGCAAUAUUACUUUGGCUAGACCGGCGCACGGGUGCGUAACACGUAUGCAACCUACCUUAUACUGGGGAAUAACUUCGAGAAAUCGGCGCUAAUACCCCAUAACACUGCGGAGAGGCAUCUCUUUGCAGUUAAAGCUCCGGCGGUAUAAGAUGGGCAUGCGUCCAAUUAGCUAGUUGGUGAGGUAACGGCUCACCAAGGCUACGAUUGGUAGGGGUUCUGAGAGGAGGAUCCCCCACACUGGUACUGCGACACGGACCAGACGCCGACGGGAGGCAGCAGUGAGGAAGAUUGCGCAAUGGACGAAAGUCUGACGCAGCCAUGCCGCGUGCAGGAUGACGGCCCUAUGGGUUGUAAACUGCUUUUGUACGGGAAUAAACCCUUCUACGUGUAGGAGGCUGAAGGUACCGUAAGAAUAAGCACCGGCUAACUCCGUGCCAGCAGCCGCCGUAA